AGUUUGAUUAUGGCUCAGGAUUGAACGCUGGCGGAUGCUUUACACAUGCAAGUCGAACGGCGUACUGGACUUCGGUCUGGUGGCGAGUGGCGAACGGUGAGUAAUGUAUCGAACGUGCCUAGUAGCGGGGGAUAACUACGCGAAAGCGUAGCUAAUACCGCAUACGCCCUUCGGGGGAAAGCGGGGACCUUCGGGCCUCGCACUAGGAGCGGCUGAUAUCGGAUUAGCUAGUUGGUGGGGUAACGGCUCACCAAGGCGAUUGAUCCGGUAGCUGGUUUGAGAGGACGACCAGCCACACUGGGACCGGAGACACGGCCCAGACUCCUACGGAGGCAGCAGUGGGAAUUUGGACAAUGGGGGAAACCCCGAUCCAGCCGUCCUGCGUGUGCGAUGAAGGCCUUCGGGUUGUAAAGCACUUUGGCAGGGAGAAGAAAACGGCACGGGAUAAUACCCCGUGCAACUGACGGUACCUGCAGAAUAAGCACUGGCUAACUACGUGCCAGCAGCCGCGGUAAUACGUAGGGUGCAAGCGUUAAUCGGAAUUACUGGGCGUAUGCGCAGGCGGUUCGGAAAAAGAAAGAUGUGAAAUCCCAGAGCUUAACUUUGGAACUGCAUUUUUAACUACCGAGCUAGAGGUCAGAGGGAGGUGUGAAUUCGCGUGGGCAGUGAAAUGCGUGCAGAUAUGCGGAGUGAACACCGAUGGCGAAGGCAGCCUCCCGGGGAUAACACUGACGCUCAUGCACGAAAGCGUGGGGAGCAAACAGGAUUAGAUACCCUGGUAGUCCACGCCCUAAACGAUGUCAACUAUUGUUAGCCUUCGCCUUGUAGCGCAGGCUAACGCGUGAAGUUGACCGCCUGGGAGUACGGUCGCAAGAUUAAAAACUCAAAGGAAUUGACGGGGACCCGCACAAGCGGUGGAUGAUGAUUAAUUCGAUGCAACGCGAAAAACCUACCUACCCUUGACAUGUCUGGAAUCCCGAAGAGAUUUUGGGGAGUGCUCGCAAGAGAACCGAACACAGGUGCUGCAUGGCUGUCGUCAGCUCGUGUCGUGAGAUGUUGGGUUAAGUCCCGGCAACGAGCGCAACCCUUGUCAUUAGUUGUCACGAAAGGGCACCCCAUCGCCGGUGACAAACUGAGGAAGGUGGGGAUGACGUCAGUCCUCAUGGCCCUUUUUGCGGUAGGGCUUCACACGUCAUACAAUGGUCGGGACAGAGGGUCGCCAACCCGCGAGGGGGAGCCAAUCCCAGAAACCCGAUCGUAGUCCGGAUCGCAGUCUGCAACUCGACUGCGUGAAGUCGGGAUCGCUAGUAAUCGCGGAUCAGCAUGUCGCGGUGAAUACGUUCCCGGGUCUUGUACACACCGCCCGUCACACCAUGGGAGUGGGUUUUACCAGAAGUAGUUAGCCUAACCGUAAGGAGGCGAUUACCACGGUAGGAUUCAGUGACUGGGGUGGAAGUCAACAAGGCAG
rnacentral:rRNA from 1 species